rnacentral:rRNA from 1 species
UUGAACGCUGGCGGCAGGCCUAACACAUGCAAGUCGAACGGUAACAGGAAGCAGCUUGCUGUUUCGCUGACGAGUGGCGGACGGGUGAGUAAUGUCUGGGAAACUGCCUGAUGGAGGGGGAUAACUACUGGAAACGGUAGCUAAUACCGCAUAACGUCGCAAGACCAAAGAGGGGGACCUUCGGGCCUCUUGCCAUCGGAUGUGCCCAGAUGGGAUUAGCUAGUAGGUGGGGUAACGGCUCACCUAGGCGACGAUCCCUAGCUGGUCUGAGAGGAUGACCAGCCACACUGGAACUGAGACACGGUCCAGACUCCUACGGGAGGCAGCAGUGGGGAAUAUUGCACAAUGGGCGCAAGCCUGAUGCAGCCAUGCCGCGUGUAUGAAGAAGGCCUUCGGGUUGUAAAGUACUUUCAGCGGGGAGGAAGGGAGUAAAGUUAAUACCUUUGCUCAUUGACGUUACCCGCAGAAGAAGCACCGGCUAACUCCGUGCCAGCAGCCGCGGUAAUACGGAGGGUGCAAGCGUUAAUCGGAAUUACUGGGCGUAAAGCGCAAGCAGGCGGUUUGUUAAGUCAGAUGUGAAAUCCCCGGGCUCAACCUGGGAACUGCAUCUGAUACUGGCAAGCUUGAGUCUCGUAGAGGGGGGUAGAAUUCCAGGUGUAGCGGUGAAAUGCGUAGAGAUCUGGAGGAAUACCGGUGGCGAAGGCGGCCCCCUGGACGAAGACUGACGCUCAGGUGCGAAAGCGUGGGGAGCAAACAGGAUUAGAUACCCUGGUAGUCCACGCCGUAAACGAUGUCGACUUGGAGGUUGUGCCCUUGAGGCGUGGCUUCCGGAGCUAACGCGUUAAGUCGACCGCCUGGGGAGUACGGCCGCAAGGUUAAAACUCAAAUGAAUUGACGGGGGCCCGCACAAGCGGUGGAGCAUGUGGUUUAAUUCGAUGCAACGCGAAGAACCUUACCUGGUCUUGACAUCCACGGAAGUUUUCAGAGAUGAGAAUGUGCCUUCGGGAACCGUGAGACAGGUGCUGCAUGGCUGUCGUCAGCUCGUGUUGUGAAAUGUUGGGUUAAGUCCCGCAACGAGCGCAACCCUUAUCCUUUGUUGCCAGCGGUCCGGCCGGGAACUCAAAGGAGACUGCCAGUGAUAAACUGGAGGAAGGUGAGGAUGACGUCAAGUCAUCAUGGCCCUUACGACCAGGGCUACACACGUGCUACAAUGGCGCAUACAAAGAGAAGCGACCUCGCGAGAGCAAGCGGACCUCAUAAAGUGCGUCGUAGUCCGGAUUGGAGUCUGCAACUCGACUCCAUGAAGUCGGAAUCGCUAGUAAUCGUGGAUCAGAAUGCCACGGUGAAUACGUUCCCGGGCCUUGUACACACCGCCCGUCACACCAUGGGAGUGGGUUGCAAAAGAAGUAGGUAGCUUAACCUUCGGGAGGGCGCUUACCACUUUGUGAUUCAUGACUGGGGUG